rnacentral:rRNA from 1 species
GAUGAACGCUGGCGGCGUGCCUAAUACAUGCAAGUCGAGCGAACGGACGAGAAGCUUGCUUCUCUGAUGUUAGCGGCGGACGGGUGAGUAACACGUGGAUAACCUACCUAUAAGACUGGGAUAACUUCGGGAAACCGUAGCUAAUACCGGAUAAUAUUUUGAACCGCAUGGUUCAAAAGUGAAAGACGGUCUUGCUGUCACUUAUAGAUGGAUCCGCGCUGCAUUAGCUAGUUGGUAAGGUAACGGCUUACCAAGGCAGCGAUGCAUAGCCGACCUGAGAGGGUGAUCGGCCACACUGGAACUGAGACACGGUCCAGACUCCUACGGGAGGCAGCAGUAGGGAAUCUUCCGCAAUGGGCGAAAGCCUGACGGAGCAACGCCGCGUGAGUGAUGAAGGUCUUCGGAUCGUAAAACUCUGUUAUUAGGGAAGAACAUAUGUGUAAGUAACUGUGCACAUCUUGACGGUACCUAAUCAGGAAGCCACGGCUAACUACGUG